rfam:Pongo abelii chromosome 7.
GCUGGGCGUGGUGGCUCACGCCUGUAAUCCCAGCACUUUGGGAGGCCAAGGCAGGUGGAUCACCUGAGGUCGGGAUUUCAAGACCAGCCUGACCAACAUGGAGAAAUCCUGUCUUUA